rnacentral:miRNA from 1 species
UAUCUACAUUGAAUACCUGGCUAUG